GCCUGGGUAGCUCAGUGGUUGAGCACCUGCCUUUGGCUCAGGUCAAAGGCAGGCCCCAUAAUGGGGGCCCAUCAUGGCCCCCAUGAUCUUGGGUAUCCUGGGAUCGAGUCCCACAUCAGGCU
rnacentral:tRNA from 1 species